rnacentral:lncRNA from 1 species
CUUCUCCUCUCAAAACCCUUUCUUUUUCCCGCAGCCCAUCAAACCAGUCUCAGAAAAACGACGAUCUCGAACCCGUUCACCGUUGGAUCGUUGUGAAAUUUGAGUAUCAUGUUCGCAACACAAUUACGAGCAUUCUCACCGUUGGGAAUUUCGAUAUCAUGUCUGAACUAAGAGAAACACCCUUCGCAUUGUAGCCUUUUUCUUUCCCGCAGAAACCCAGAGCUGUCUUGGUAAAACUACGAUCCCGGUUUUGUUAACCGUUGGAUUAUUGUGAAAUUUGGAUAUGUUGUUCGGAAUUCAAUUCCGCACGCUUCCACCGUUGGGAUUUGCGAGAUAAUAUUCGUGGAGGGAGAAAAAGGAAUCGUAUGAAGACAGUACAAGUGGAGGUUUCAAUCUCUUCUCCGUCUCUCUGACGUUUGGGAAUUCUAUCGGAGCAGUCGGAUGAAUAAUUGAAAGAAUUUCUGGGAACCGCUAGAGAUGUUGCUAUCGCUGGCUGAAGACACGUGAGCCCGCUUAGAGGUAAAGGAUGAGUUUAUCACAAUUGGGGAUUAGAAUGAACAUGUGUAGGGAUCCUUAGAGAACUAAAUUUGGGUUUAUUUUGGGAUGUUUAUUGAAUUAUAAUUUUCUCUUUAUGAUUAUAAAUAUAAUAUUAUUGUGUUCUAUGUACCAAUUGAUGUCCUAAUGAGAAUUGAUUGAUAAACUUGAGUGCUCUUGAUGUCUUUGUGUUUAACCCAUGAAUUUGAUUAAUUGAUUGUGAUAUAAUUGUGAGAAACUAUUUCAGGGAUUUUACACCCUAUGUUGUGAUGAAAUCUUUUGUAUAAAUUGUUAUGUUGAGGUUAUGAAAUGAUGAUUCAAAUUGUGAGUAUGUGAUAAAUUGAACAUGUGACGGAUGAUGAAAUACAUGUGUAUUGAGAUGAGAUGUGUGUAUUGAGUUGUGAACUAUGAACUGUGCAAUCACACAAUUGUAAGACCCUUUAAGGGCGACGAGUAUUGUGAUGGGAUCCACUGUGGGAAUCCGACGAGUUAAAAUGAUUUUGAAAACAAUUGAGUAGAUGUGUGUAUUGCAUAGUUCAUAGGUAAAGUGUACAUGAUUCAUGAGGUGUGAUAACAUGUUAAAUUGAGAUUAUACCAUUGUGAUUGGGAUUAAGUGUAUGUGAUAAAUUGAGUAUGUAUAUGAUUUGAGAUAUAUAUGUGCAUCGAGUUGUGAACUAUGAAUUGUACAAUCACACGAUCAUAAGUCCCUUCAAGGGCGACGAGUUAAUGCUAAGUCCCUUUUAGGGCGACGAGUUGAUGUUAAGUUCCUUUUAGGGCGACGAGUUGAUGCUAAGUCCCUUUUUGGGCGACGAGUUAAUGUUAAGACCCUUAAAGGGCGACGAGUUAAAAUUAUUUUGAGAACAAUUGAGGAGUGGUGUGUUUUGUACAGUUCAUAGAUAGAGUCUGUGUGCUAAAAUAAUUUUAGGGGUUGGACCUGAAUCAGGAGGGAGAGGCCCUGACGGACUCUUCGGAGUGUAGGCCUUGGGGGUCACCGGGUUUGAGUGCUCCUUUAAGCCUUUGUUAAUCCCAUAUGGUUGGAGCAUUCUCGCAAAACAUCGUGACCCUGACUGGUCUCCCUAUGAUCUUACUUAGUGAGAGUGACCUGACAAACCCAUUGUGUGGUGUGUCUUGUUAUGUACUCCUAAGCGCCCCAGGGUGGUUUUUCACUGACAUGGUACCACAUUGCAUAUAGGCUUGAGUCUUAGCAUAACUGUCGCAUACGCUUGCUAAUUGUUUAUUAUAAAAUUGAUGUGUUAUUAUGUCUUGAUCGGAGUGUGUGAUUCCUGUGUAUAAUGAUUGAUGAUUGAAAGGUGUGAUUGAUGAAUGACAAAGUGAUGAAAUAAUGUGAGAUAUGCUAAGUAAAUUGUAUUUGGCUACUAUAUGUUGUGUUGUUUCUCUCUAGUAGUUAGCAAUGUGAUAACUCAUUCCCGGUUUACUGUUUGUGUUUGGAUCCUGUGAUGAUCUUGAACUUUGUGUUCGGGGGAGCAGAUGAAUAGGUGGAUGACUAUGAAGAAUCUCAUGCUAGAGGACACGGGAACACCACGCUCUGAUAGGAUGUGACAUUAGGAUAUAAGUUCUAUAUUAAUUGUAUGAGACUUAUAUGAUUUUCUUUGAGUCGAGAUGACUUUAUUAUUUAUUUGGACAAGUUUGAAUAUGAUGUAAAAGAAAGUGAAUGUGAG